rnacentral:rRNA from 1 species
CCUACGGGCGGCAGCAGUAGGGAAUAUUGCUCAAUGGGGGAAACCCUGAAGCAGCAACGCCGCGUGGAGGAUGAAGGUUUUAGGAUUGUAAACUCCUUUUGUUAGAGAAGAUAAUGACGGUAUCUAACGAAUAAGCACCGGCUAACUCCGUGACAGCAGCCGCGGUAAUACGGAGGGUGGAAGCGUUACUCGGAAUCACUGGGCGGAAAGAGCGCGUAGGCGGGAUAGCAAGUCAGAUGUGAAAUCCUAUGGCUUAACCAUAGAACUGCAUUUGAAACUGUUAUUCUAGAGUAUGGGAGAGGUAGGUGGAAUUCUUGGUGUAGGGGUAAAAUCCGUAGAGAUCAAGAGGAAUACUCAUUGCGAAGGCGACCUGCUAGAACAUAACUGACGCUGAUGCGCGAAAGCGUGGGGAGCAAACAGGAUUAGAUACCCUUGUAGUC